rnacentral:rRNA from 1 species
CGAACGGGUGAGUAACACGUGGGCAACCUGCCCAAAAGAGGGGGAGUAACACUUGGAAACAGGUGCUAAUACCGCAUAACCAUAGUUACCGCAUGGUAACUAUGUAAAAGGUGGCUAUGCUACCGCUUUUGGAUGGGCCCGCGACGCAUUAGCUAGUUGGUGGGGUAAAGGCUUACCAAGGCAAUGAUGCGUAGCCGAACUGAGAGGUUGAUCGGCCACAUUGGGACUGAGACACGGCCCAAACUCCUACGGGAGGCAGCAG